rnacentral:lncRNA from 14 species
ACUUGUAAUACAUCAUACAGUUUAAAUGCUGUAUGAAUUCAGUUAUAUGUUAUAAAGAUGAGAUACAGCCUGAGAAGUGUGAAAGCAUAAUUUCAUUACCAUAUAGUGAAUGCUUGUAGGCCUAGAUGUAUAUAAGUCUUAUGCCACAGUCUGUUCUUCCAGACUACAAACUUAUCUGCUAUGUUACUGCUAUUGUAUAGACAGUUAUAAUAUGGCAUUGGCUAUAGGUAUACACAUAUGUAUAAACAUAUACAGGCAUAGAAAAGGAUACAGUAAAAUAUGAGAUAAUAGGAAUCUUCAACUCUGUUAUGGUGUUAAGGGAGCACUAUUGGAGUCGUGGGCUGUGAGUAAGUAAAUAUCAUUAUGCAGUGCAUUGAAUAUGUCUAUUAAUGCUGUAUUUCUUUUGAGGUUCUAUUUUGUAAACAGGUCCAUACUGUAUAGCUUAGACUACUCAGUGUCUCAAGUGCUGAAAUUAUGCACAUUACCACAGAGGCCCAUACUGUGUUGUACUUCAGAAAACAGUCACAAGGGGAAAGCAGCUAUAGAUACGCAGUAUGGCUAACAAGGGAAAGCAUCUGUAGUCAGUAUAGCUAAACAUUUCUCCCAAUAUUUGUGGUUGAAUUUGCAGUGUAGUGACAUGCCUUUAACCCCAUCACUAGGGAGGCAGAGACAGGCAGGACUCUGUAACAAGGACUCUGUUCAAGGACAGCCUGGUCUAUAAAGCAAGUUCCAGGACAACCAGGGCUACACAAAGAAAUUCUGUCUCAAGAAAACCAAAAACCAAAACCAA